rnacentral:rRNA from 1 species
CCUACGGGUGGCUGCAGUGGGGAAUAUUGGACAAUGGGGGGAACCCUGAUCCAGCCAUGCCGCGUGUGUGAAGAAGGCCCUCGGGUUGUAAAGCACUUUCAGUGAGGAAGAACGCCUGGUGGUUAAUACCCAUCAGGAAAGACAUCACUCACAGAAGAAGCACCGGCUAACUCCGUGCCAGCAGCCGCGGUAAUACGGAGGGUGCGAGCGUUAAUCGGAAUUACUGGGCGUAAAGCGCGCGUAGGUGGCUUGAUAAGCCGGUUGUGAAAGCCCCGGGCCCAACCUGGGAACGGCAUCCGGAACUGUCAAGCUAGAGUGCAGGAGAGGAAGGUAGAAUUCCCGGUGUAGCGGUGAAAUGCGUAGAGAUCGGGAGGAAUACCAGUGGCGAAGGCGGCCUUCUGGACUGACACUGACACUGAGGUGCGAAAGCGUGGGUAGCAAACAGGAUUAGAUACCCUAGUAGUC